rnacentral:tRNA from 1 species
GAGGGCAUAGCUCAAGUGGCAGAGCGCACGCUUGGCAUGCGUGAGGUCCUGGGUUCAACCCCCAGUACCUCCU